CGCCGGUCUAGGCGUCGGCCUUCAAAACUGGGUUGGCGU
rnacentral:tRNA from 13 species